AUUGAACGCUGGCGGCAUGCCUUACACAUGCAAGUCGAACGGUAACAGGUCUUCGGAUGCUGACGAGUGGCGAACGGGUGAGUAAUACAUCGGAACGUGCCCAGACGUGGGGGAUAACGAGGCGAAAGCUUUGCUAAUACCGCAUACGAUCUAAGGAUGAAAGCAGGGGACCGCAAGGCCUUGUGCGUUUGGAGCGGCCGAUGGCAGAUUAGGUAGUUGGUGGGAUAAAAGCUUACCAAGCCGACGAUCUGUAGCUGGUCUGAGAGGACGACCAGCCACACUGGGACUGAGACACGGCCCAGACUCCUACGGGAGGCAGCAGUGGGGAAUUUUGGACAAUGGGCGAAAGCCUGAUCCAGCAAUGCUGCGUGCAGGAUGAAGGCCUUCGGGUUGUAAACUGCUUUUGUACGGAACGAAAAGGCUCUGGCUAAUACCUGGGGCACAUGACGGUACCGUAAGAAUAAGCACCGGCUAACUACGUG
rnacentral:rRNA from 1 species